AUGAGAGAAAACCAGAGUCAACAUCUUUACCAAAUAAACAUUCGCCUAGUUCCAAGAAAUCUGUUGCAAGAGCUGAGGGAGCAAGUUUCACUACUUCUACAAUUACAAGACUAACGUCCAAACUAUACUUUUUGAAGGAUCGCCGUAGUCAGUUUUCAAAUGAAAUACGAAACAUGAAUAAAGGAAAAGCACUUGAACUUCAGCUACCACCUCCAUCUCCCAACGAACGUCAAUCGCCAAAUAAGUCUCUACUUCGAUCCCCAAAUAUGUCUCGAGAAAACGAACGUCAAUCGCCAGU
rnacentral:lncRNA from 1 species